UCCGUCACCCAUAGCUUAAACUCUUCCGCCACAAACGUCAAGUUUAAGUGUAAAAUCUUCAGCCACAAACGACAAAUUUAAGAAGGAUUUAUCAAGUGGCUAAUUGCAAUAAAUUAGCUGAUCAUAUAAAGAGUUUUAUGGAUCUACAAGGAUAUCAACUUUGAUGGUGAAGCGGUGAUGAGAUGAACAGAGCUUGCGGUGAAAGGGUGUUUUCGGCGAGCAUUGGAGACUUAUCAAACACAACACACACGGAUACACAUGUGUCCUAAAAUUGGAUUUUUUUAUUAUGUAGAAUAUUCUACAAUAUUUUUCUUUAUUAUGAUAAUAUGUAAAAGUCCAGCUUGUUGGGCUUAUUCCGUGAACCAAUUGUAGCAGCUUUAAUAGGUUUUCCAUUUCAAGGAAUUUACCCGACAAAAAAGGA